CGCGGGACCCGCCAAAGAACUUGCGGGCGCGGGCGGUUUUUCAGCUAUUGCGGGCGGGAGCGGGCGGUCAGCCAGUGUACCUGCGGGUCCCGGUAAUCCCGCGCAGUCCCGCAAGGCUGCCUUCUCGCUGCUCCCUCACAGCGUCACUUCUCUUGUUCUGCCCAGGAACACAGCGGAGUCACGUGAUUUAACAUCUCAUCAAAUGACUCUGCUCCGUUCCUGCGGGAAAAGAAAAGAGACCUUCUGUGAGAGCAACCUGAAGGCAGCCUUGAGUGCGCGGGAAAUCUGCAAUUCUGAUAAGGCAGUGAAAGAGUUUGUAUUAACCAGUAUGUAUGAUUUAGGGAAUAGAUCAAUGGAUGUUUGUGAAUGACUUCUGCUGGGGCUUCUAUGAUGGGGGAGAGUGGCACACCAGGGGGCAUAGUGGCAUAUUGGGGAGCACAGUGGGUUAUCUGGAGAUAUAUGCAUAACUGGGGGCACAGUGUCAUAUCAAUGGUUGGAGUGGCAUAUCAUGGGCACAGUGGCAUAUAAGUGUCUAUAAGGCAUAACUGGGGGCACAGUGGCAUAUCAGGGUCUAUAAGGCACACCAGGGGGCUAUAGGGCACUCCAGGGGGGACAGCACAGUGGCAUAUGUGGAGAUAUAAGGCAUAACUGGGGGCACAGUGGCAUAUUAGGGGUUGGAGUGGCAUAUCAUGGGCACAGUGACAUAUAAGUGUCUAUAAGGCAUAACUGGGGGCACAGUGGCGUAUCAGGUGUUGGAGUGGCAUAUCAGGGGGUACAUGGCAUAUCAUGGGCACAGUGGCAUAUCUGGGGGGUAUAAGGCAAAUCUAGGGGGCAGAGUGGCAUAUAGGGGGAUAUAAGGCAUAUCUGGGGUAGAAAGUGGCAUAUAGGGAAAUAUAAGGCAUAUCUGGGGGGCAGAGUGGCAAGCCUGGGGUCAGAUAUGCAUAACUGGGGGGCAGGUUGGCAAAUAAGAAAAAUAAAAACAAGAAAUACAUUUUUCUCAAUUAUACUUUUUAUUAAAUAUGAAAACAUA